GACGAACGCUGGCGGCGUGCCUAAUACAUGCAAGUAGAACGCUGAAGGAGGAGCUUGCUUCUCUGGAUGAGUUGCGAACGGGUGAGUAACGCGUAGGUAACCUGCCUGGUAGCGGGGGAUAACUAUAGGAAACGAUAGCUAAUACCGCAUAAGGGUAGAUGUCGCAUGACAUUUGCUUAAAAGGUGCAAUUGCAUCACUACCAGAUGGACCUGCGUUGUAUUAGCUAGUUGGUGAAGUAACGGCUCACCAAGGCAACGAUACAUAGCCGACCUGAGAGGGUGAUCGGCCACACUGGGACUGAGACACGGCCCAGACGCCUACGAGAGGCAGCAGUAGGGAAUCUUCGGCAAUGGACGGAAGUCUGACCGAGCAACGCCGCGUGAGUGAAGAAGGUUUUCGGAUCGUAAAGCUCUGUUGUAAGAGAAGAAAGAGUGUGAGAGUGGAAAGUUCACACUGUGACGGUAUCUUACCAGAAAGGGACGGCUAACUACGUG
rnacentral:rRNA from 1 species